AGGAUGAACGCUGGCGGCGUGCCUAACACAUGCAAGUCGAACGUCCUGUCUCGCAAGAGGCAGGGAGUGGCGGACGGGUGAGUACCACGUGGGUUAUCUACCGUGAGGUGAGGAAUACCGGCGAGAAAUCGCCGACAAGACCGCAUAGCCUCGGUGCAAGCCGAGCAAAGCUCUUUCGAGAGAGGGAGCGCCACACGAGGAGCCUGCGCCCGAUUAGCUAGCUGGUGGAGUAACGGUUCACCAGGGCGACGAUCGGUAGCUGGUCUGAGAGGACGAUCAGCCACACUGGGAUUGAGAACGGCCCAGACUCCUACGGGGGGCAGCAGUGAGGAAUUUUCGUCAAUGGGGGCAACCCUGAACGAGCAACGCCGCGUGCAGGAAGAAGGUUUUCGGAUCGUAAACUGCUUUUCUCGGGGAAGAGAACGGACGGUACCCGAGGAAUCAGCCCCGGCUAACUACGCGCCAGCAGCCGCGGUAA
rnacentral:rRNA from 1 species